GUUUAAUGGCUAUUUAUGUAAAUAUUAAUUGCACUGUAAUUUUUUAGUUAAAAAUAUGUUAAUUUAUUUAUAUUAAAAUACCGAUAAAGACGUACGACAUACCGCCAGCAACACCUUUUCAUUCAAUAUAUUAAAAAUAGGGAGCAAGUUAAAAUAAAGAUAUAUUACAAGGAUUAGCAUUUGGCACACUGUAUUUAAAAAAUUAGUUUAAUUUACAUAUAAAUAAUUAUUAACAAGAAAGCAUGCCCUCCUUUGUUUUCACGGGCUUGGGACCGUCUGCACAAAUUCCUUUGCACAGGCCAAGUUACAUGCAUUAUCCUAACUGUCACAUGCACACAGUCACACAUCUCAAGCCAAGCAAAAUCCAAAGAACCAUCAGAUGACCAGCAAUCUAGAGACGCUCCAAGUGAACAACAUUUUCUUUGCGCUUAAACAUGACACACCCAAUAUGGUAGAGAGCAACAAAGUAUGGAUGCUAGCACAGCUCUGACUGCUAUUCAUCAUCAACAAAAUCCAUGCUUGCCAAUCUCACACAACUUGCAAUAAUGAUGAAGUAAAACAAACCAGACGAUCCCAUAAAGCCAUCACAUUCUUCCAGCGACAAACAAGUCUCCACAUUUGGCUAAAAAAUCCACAAGACUUUGAUGAUUGAAGAUGGAUAAGGGACUUUCUACUGUCUAGCAAUAAUAAGAAUGUACCAAGAUGGACCAGAAGCAACACGAAAGUUACCAAAUCCUCACAAACAAGCCCAGAACAUUGACGACAGUUGGAGUUUUGACCCUGCAGAGACCACAACCAUGAUUUUCCACCAUCAUUAUUGCAAACUAGAACCAAGAGCGAAACCAGUGCUCCACGUCAUUCUAACAUGAACCUCGGAUAUAUCAAAGCCUUGAAUUUACAAAAAUGAAGAAUCCGUAGGUUAAUCAUACUGAAGCUCACUGCUGCACAGUUAAUCAAAAUAGCCAAAAAGUCUGAACAAAAUCCCAAAGCCCCUGAUAACAGACACAUGAGCUGGCUGCAUUCACAAAUCCAAAAUCCAACGUAAUAAAAGACGUGCACCAAAAUGGGAUCUGAAUAGCGAAGAGAUGAAAAAAGCAUUACAGUUAUCUAACACACAUCAAACAAACAAGUAAAGAUGUAGGAGAAGAGAAUCAAACAAAGAAUUGAAUGGUAAGGCAUCCGGCCCACGGGAUAUUCUCAGCAUUCAAUCCUUAUAGUAUGAGCACCAUCUAACUAUUAAAAGAGCAACCAAUGACCACAACACAACAAACAGAUAGAAACAUGUCAGAAAUAAACAAAAUCAACAGACUAUCAAUUUAAUCAACUCCCCAUGACAGAUACUGAAAACUGUUCCAAACUUCAAAGUACGCAGAGUGAUAACCUGAUAUUUUAACGGUGAGGAAAUAGAAAAGACCAGUGAGAUGUACUGUGAAAUAGAGGUGCUGAGAGAUGGUGAAGUCAGUUUAGAGGUUUGAAGAUGUCAAUGACCGAAAAAAUCAAAGCCAAGCGCGUAGAAGAAUCUAAUUCAACUACACACGAACUAGAAUAAUAUGUAGUGAUAUGGAAGAACACAAGGGCCUAAUUCAAAGGAAAAUCCUAACAAUAAUAGUACUUCUAGUCAGAAUAAGAUGAGAAGUACUACAAUCUUCUGUUCCAACCUUGAACCUGAGCGUAUCCUGAAAAUACAAAAAUAAAAUAAACAGAAAAGACGCGAAACAUUUCAAAGAAAUUACAAGGAAAAGAACUAGGCACAUGCAACAAAGAUUAAAACAAAAAAAAUGGAAUGCGCUAGAUGGAAAAAAUCUAAUGCAAAAUCUAUUCUGCCAAAAUUGGCAACCUCAUGGACAAUGAACAAACACAAAAAUGAGAUUCGCCCUAAGGAUGCACAUAUGCAAUCAAAACAUCAAUCAAGCCAAAAUGCCAACAACGCGUACAUAGACCAUAGAAACUUGCAUAUGAUAACGCAACACAACAUAAAGAAGUUUCAGCAUAGUUCUAGGCAAACAACAACACAAAUCAAAUUGUUGGAACACAAAGCCUUAGUCACAAAAAAAUGGAGCAACUGAUGCAAUACUGGUGAACUAAGAACCUAGCUACUUCCUUUUAGAUAAGAGCUGCUACAUAUCCAAAGAGGUCGCCUUAGAGAUCCGCUAACCCAUAACUCAAGAGAGGCUGGAGUAAAAAACAAUAGGUAUCAGCAAGAUAGAGGAAACAUUUUUAUAUUACCAAAAAAAGAAAGGAAGUGACCGAAAAUGAACAGAGGGAAGAAAAGACCUUUACUCGGGCAACCAACCUCUCAGCCCAAGCUACCAUCCCACAACAACCCCUGUUGGCCAAUUUCAGGAAGAAUGAGAGAGAAAACAAGGUAGGAGACAAACAUAUGUACGGAGGAGCUAGAAAAAGAAAGCAGAAUUGAAAUCCCAAAGACGAGCAAUAGCAAGCAAAGGGUGGAAGGAGGUAGAAGUCAUGACGCAAUGCUCUGAUCCGUGAUGCAACAUAACCAUUCUCCAAUUGCACCCUAUUUGUCUUGCCUGAGAGUGCACAACCAAUAACUGAAAGGAGCAGAAAAGAAUCCAAAAAAUCAACAAAUAAACAACUACCGUUGAUCGUAUACGAUAUCGAGGCAGACCCUGAAAUUGAUAUCAAGCUGAAGAAACCUUUUAGUUCAACCUUAGCAACACUAAAAACUAAAACAAAGUUAAACGAGCAGCGGCAAAUCAAAAGAUGAAACUCAAAUACAUCAUCACAGAUGUCCCUAGUUGCAGUAAAUUUUUCAGAGGACGAGAUCUGUCAAGAACAAGAUGGUCACAGCCUUCCAAAAGAAUCAUCUAAAUGCUAGAUAAGGAUGGAACGAUAUGGUUCAAUCUCCCCAUAUUAGAUGAUGAUGGAACAACUAAGCUACGCAUAACCCACACACUUCAAAGGAAAUGAAGCACUGUCCGUAGAACCAAGUCAAUAUUCAAAUGCCUCAAUUUAGAGCAUAACGCCAUACCAAACACUUAUAAGCAAAACCAAUAAAUCCAUGAAAAGAAACAAAUAGAAACAAAACCAUAAAUAACAAACACUCAAACUCAAUUUAACCAGCUCCCUGUCACAGAUGUUGCAAUCAGUUCCUAGUUUCGAAGAAGCCAAAAAAAAAAACCUGACAAGUCUAAGCCACACACACAGAGGAAAUCCACAAGGUUCGUUUUGAAGGAAUAUAUAAAUGAUGUGGAACAGCACAAGGACAAAAUUGAAGGAAAAUAUAAACCCUACUUUAAACCAAAUUCAGUGAAUCAGUUGAGCCCAUGGUUAAGAUGCAGAUAAACCUUUACGAAUAUUGAACCAGUUAAUAUCCUGAAAAACAAACAGAUGUGUAUAGGUGACGAGAAAUAGAAAUCAACAGACCGAAACAGAUGCCAAUGGAAACAAUAAAAAGAUGUAAGAGAUAUCUUCCCAACUAGGAUGCACAGCAUAAGAAGAAACAGGUCCUUAUGGAGCCAAAAUCAUAAUUAGACGAUUACCUGCAAGCCAAACAGAGAAAAUGAAAGCUAGACGAAUAUCUAAACUACAUCAAAGAAAACAAAAUGGACACGAAAGAAGGAAAAGAUUCUUAUGGUUAACACUCUUGGGCGUGGAAUAUUGUAAUGAACACAGGUAUACGAUUUAGUCCUGCAGAUGCACAAACACAUGAUACAUUAAAAACAUCAAGCCAAGAUAGUGAGAACUUAAAAUCCCGAUAAUAAAGACUGGAAGGACAAAAAACAGUUAGGUGAAAGGAGGAAGAACAAAAUCAUACUAAGUCGCCCUGAUGUGUGAAACAUGUCAAACCACUACACAAAAUGUUGGCAUUGCCCUGUAGGGUACAACUGAACAUCAGCAAAAACCAAAAGAAAAAACAAACAGAAACAAGUAUCAACAGAAUACACAAAAUUAUAAAAUUAAACAACCCCUCCCUGAUGGAUACGGAGAGUUUGGGUACCAUUCACACUGACCAAUCCGUAGCCUGAAACUCAAACCAAAAUAAGUAGAGAAAAUUUAGAUCAACCUUGAGCAAAGCUAGAGUAGAAUUAAACUGACAAUUAACAGAACAAAAGCGCAACUCAAACUUAUCAUCACCGAUGUCCCUCAUUCCAGUGAAUUAUUCAGAGAACGCUUCUGCCAAGAACAAGAGAUAGUCAAGGCCUUCCCAAGAAACAUAAAAACGAAGGUAAGGAAGGAAGGAAAAGGUAGGUUUGAAUCUCCCAAAAGUUGUAUCUGCCAAACGACUCUAGGUCUAAUCUUCAAACUUCGAAGCAAAUUAAACACUGUCCAUAGAACCAAGUUCACAUUCAUAUGCCUCGAUUAAGAGCAUAACCCCAUAGCCUAACAAUUAAGAGCAAAACCAAUUAAUCCAUCGAAAGAAACAAAUAGACACAAAGCUAAACCUUAAACUAUCAAUUUAACCGAGUCCCUAUCACGGAUGUCGAUAUCAGUUUGUAGUUUUGAAGAAGCCGGAGUAAAAGCCUGAAAAGUAAAAGCCACACACAGAGGAAAUCAGUAAGGUUUAGUGUGAAGUAAUAUAGAAUGAUGUGAAACAACACAAGGACUUAAUUGAAGGAAAACCUAAACUACACUCUACCAGUUUUAGGCAAAUAAAGACGAAGAGAACUAUAAACCAAAUUUAGUGACUCGGUCAAAACCAGUGGUUAAGAUGCAGCUGAACCUUCACCAAUAUUGAACCAUCCUGAAAAGCAAAAAGAUCCGGGGAACAGAAAUCAACACGCCAAAUAGACUCCAAUGGAAACAGUAAAAAGAAAUAAGAUAUCCAUCUCUUCCCAACUACGAUGCACGCAAUAAGAAGAACAGUUUCUUAUGGCCGUAAAAUCAUCAAUUAGAGGACUACCUGCAACCGAAACAGAGAAAACAAAAGCGCAACAAUGAUCUAAACUAAGUCAAACAUAAUGAACAGGAAGGAGAAGAUUCUUAUGGUUAACACUCAGCCUGUGAAUAUUGUAACAGACACACGUAUGAGUAGCCCUGGGGAUGCACAAACACCUACAUUAAAACAUCGAGCCAAGCUAGCGUACGAUUAAAAUCCCGAAGAUGAAGACUGGAACAAUAACAAACAGCAGCUGAAGGAGGAAGGAAAACUCAUGCUUAGCCGCCCAGAUCUGUGGCGUGUCAUCAAACCAAUACACUUUCACAAUACGCACAGUGUUGACCUUGCCCUGAGAGCGGAGAACUCGAUAUCAGCAGAAACCCCAAACAGAAAACUAUUGGAAAGGAAGAACAGGACAGAAAUCAUUAGAUUAAACGAAUCCUCUGAUCAGAUACUGGAUGCUAGCCCUCAACUGACCAGUCCGGAGCCUGGAACUCAAAGCAAAAUAAAUAGAGAAGUGAUUUAGCUCAACCUUGAGAAGAGCUAAAGGAGAAUUAAACAGACAAUUAAAAGAACUAAAGGACGACUCAAACUUAUCAUCACCGUUGUCCCUCAUGGGAGUAAAUUAUUCAGAGAACGCAUCUGCCAAGAACAAGAGAUAAUAAAGGCCACCAUAUCAAUCCAAUGUAAGAUAAUAAAGAAUAAGCAAGACAAAGGUUCAAUCUCCCAUAUUUUUCUGUGAAAACAGCAUAUCUAGGUGUCAGCUUCAAACGUCGAAGAAAACAAGGAUCAGCCCAUAGAACAAAGUUGACAUCCAGAUGCCAUCCGCAAUAUCUCCUCCUUCGCCAUAUCGAAGAUAUCGAUCAUGUCCUAAAACAGGGCACAAGAUGGAACAACAGAUUUAUGCCGAGCUGAAGGAACAAAUCAAAUACACUGACCAUCAUUUAUCUGAAAAGUUAACAGAUGGAAACUAAAUCAUUGCAAUUAACCAAAACACAUCAGACAAAGAAACAUGCAGGAGAAAAGGAGAGGUUCUCAUCGCAAGCUUUGUGAAAACUUGUAGAACCAUGGUAAUGUUACCCCUAACAAUACAAGAACAUCAUCAUAAGAGAACAGUCUUAAGACGUUAUUUAGUGAUCACAUGCAGCAAACAAAUAACAUUAGACUCGACAAGGUGUCCCAUCUACGGAAUACGCUCAGCAACUCGACAGCCUUAUAGUAUGAGCACAAGUGCACAACCUUACGAUUAAAAGAGCAAACACAAAAAACGAAACCAAUAGAAAGGAAGAGGUCAGAAAUAAACAAAAUCCACAGACUAUCAACUUAACCAACUACCACUUAGCAGAUACUGAGAAGCGGACUUCAAACGCGGGAGACUAGAUAAAGCCAGUAAGAUUUAGUGAUAACGCAAGAAACAAAAUAUAAUAAUUUGAAAUAAUAGCAUGUUCAUAUAUGAUGGCAGAUAAAAGCCAGUAAGAUUUAGUGAUAAUGACCCAAGAAACAAAAUAUAAUAAGUUGAAAUAUUAGCAUGUUGAUAUAUAAUGCCACCAGUAAGAUUUAGUGAUAAUGACCCAAGAAACAAAAUAUAAUAAUUUGAAAUAAUAGCAUGUUCAUAUAUAAGUUUUAGGAAGAGAAUAAGAUGAGAAGAACUACACACUGAUGAGGCAUUAUGAACCAAAAUUAGUGAUUCAGUUAAGACCAACGGUCAAAAUGCAAAAGUUACCAAUCCCGAACAAAGGAUAUAUUGAAAACAAAAAGCGAUAAGUACAGGUGCCUGAAAUAGAAAACAACAAAACAGACAUGCACAUACCAGAAACUGAAAAGAUACGAAGAUAUUAUAAGGAAACGAAUGACGAACUGACAAACAAGAUUAACGAAAAAAAAUUGGAAUGAGAAGGGGAUGGAAAAGAUUCUCAUGAGGAAGCGAUCGGUGCUGAAAAAAAUUGUAGGAAGCAAACUUCAUGGAUAAUAAACAAACACACAACGGAAGGUAGUUUCAGCGCAGCUGGAUACAAAAAAAACACAACUAAACUGUUACUGAGAAACAAAAUAAAAAGAGCCGUAACAACACAGAAAUAGAGCAAAUAAUCCAAUGCUGACGAACUGAACCUAACCACUUCAUUUACUAAGAGAUUGCACCAGCUAUCCAAAGAGCUAACGCCAUAGAGAUCUGUUAACCCUAAAAUUAAAGAGAUGCUAGAGAGAGAAAACAAUAUGUUUCAGAAGGUUUCGAGGAAACACGUUCAUCAUUACUAAAAAUGAGUGGCAAUAACCGAAAAGUUCCCGGCAAGAGAAAACCUUUACGCUGACAACUAACGUCCCAGUCCGAGCUACAAGCCCGUAUAACACAAAAGAAUCCUGAAACAGAAAACAGCUGAAAACAAGGAGCAGAGAGGAAUCCACAAAAUCAUAAAUUAAACGACUACCAUCAUAAAACCCCAAUUGCCGAGGCAGACCCUGAAAUUCAGAGAAAGAUAACGAAGCUGUUCAACUCGACCUUAACACUAAAAUAAAGUUGAACGCAAAAGGACAACAUCGCUAGGUCUAAUCCUAGAGAAAAUAAGCACUGCCGUAGAACCAAGUUAACAUCCAGAUGCCUCGAUUUAGAGCAUAACACCAUAACCUAACAAAGAAGAUCGAAACGAAUAAAUUCAUCAUCAACAGAAACAAAUCCACAAAAUCCAGAACAUCGAUUUAACCAGCUUCCUAUAAGAGAUGUUGAUGGCAGUUCCUAGAUUUGAUGGAGCCGGAGUAAAAUCCUGAAAAGUCAAAGCCACACACAGGAAAUCCACAAGGUUCAUUGUGAAGUAAUAUCUAAUUACGUGGAACAGCAAAAGAAUGUAGUUGAUGGAAAAUCUAAACCCUACUCUACCAAUUUUAGGCAGAAGAAGAAGGAGAGAAUUAUAAACCCAUUUAGAGAACAAAUUGAGAUCAAUGGCAAGAGGCAGCUAAAGAAUAACAAAUAUUGUACCAGCGGAUAUCCUGAAAAACAAAAAAAGAUACGUACAUGUGACGGAAAUAGAAAUCAACAAACCAAACAGACUCUAAUGGGAAGAGUAAAAAGAGACGAAUAGUCUCCCCGACUACGAUGCACGCAAUAAGAAGAAACAGAAAUAGGUCGUCGUAGCCCCAAAAAUCAUCAAUUAGAGGACUACCUGCACAACCCAAAGAGAGAAAAUGGAAGUGCAAGAAAAAUUUAAACUACGUCAAACAAAAUGAACACGUAGAAAGGGAACGCUUCUUAUGGUUAACACUCCGCUUGUGGAAUAUUGUAACAGACGCGGGUCUAAUCCCGAGGAUGCACAAACACCUACAUCAAGCAAAGAAAGAAAGUGUGCAGUUAAAAUUUAAAAGAUGAAGACUGGAAGAAUAACAAACAGCAAUGAAAGGAGGAAGAAACUUAUGCUGCGACACCCUGCUCUGAGAAGCAGGCAUGCAAUCAAAACCAAUACCCUUACAACAAUACACACCGUGCUGGCUUUGCCCUGAGAGCGCAGAACUCAACAUCAGCAAAAAGCCAAAAACCCCAAACAGAAAACAAUUGGAAAUCAUUAAAUUAAACGACUCCUCUGAUCAGAUACUGGAUACUAUACUUCAACUGACCAAUCCGGAUCCUGGAACUCGAAGCAAAAUGAGUAGAGAAGCAAUUUAGCUCAACCUUAAGCAAACCUAAAGUAUAAUUGAACUAACAAUUAACAGAACAAAAAACCAAUUUAAACUUAUCAUCACCGGUGUUCCUCGUUGCAGCAAAUAUAUGCAGAGAGAGCGUCUGUCAAGAACAAGAGAUAGUCAAAAGACGCCGUUUCAAUUCCCAAGGGAAGAUAAAAAGAUAAAGUAAGACGAGGUUCAAUCUCCAUGAUGGUUCUGUGAAAACAAUAUAGCUACGUUCGAGCCUCAAACGUCGAAGAAACAAGGACCAGCCCGUAGAACAAAGUUAAUAUCCAGAUGCCAUCCGCCAUCCUAAUCAUCGCCUCCCCACAUCGAAGAAAUCGAUCAAGCGUCCACAUCCUAAAAUAGGGCACAAGAUGGAACAAGAGAUUUAUACUGAGCCUAAGGAAUAAAUCCAAUACACUGAUCAAUAAUAAACCUCGUAUCGGAGAGAAAUCCGAUCCAGUCUGACCGACAUAGUACAUAUGCAAUCACCGAGCAGAUCCAUAACUUAAAACCAUAGUUUGGAAAGCCAUCGCAGCACAAUCAUCAAUCAGAUAAAUCCAACACGGUGAACCACUAUCACAAGAUCGACGAGCAGUAGACCUGGGAAGAAAUCGUAAAUCCAGAGCCAGAAAAAGAGAUCAUCAAUCAGAUACCAGGAAAUCCAAUACGACCAACCACUACCACAAGAUCCACGAGCAUAUCAAUAGACUUGGGAAGAAAUCGAAGAUCCAGAGCCAGUGGAAGAGAAGUAAUUAGAUGAAACUCAAAAUCUAGAUAUAAGACGAAAGACAACGCAGUAAAGGGCGAGGGAAGGAAACGAGAGAGCUAAAAACUCUUAUCACCGACUCGUUCGCAGCAGAAGAACCAGAAGGAAAGCGUCUACGAAAG
rnacentral:lncRNA from 1 species